UAGGGUGAUGAGGGGGCAGCUCCUGCUAGCAGCUGCUUUAAGACGGGAGCAUCAGCUUGUUUUGGUGUGGAGCUGCUGGAGGAGAGAGGUUUGUGGUGGGCUUUGAGAGGUGUCUCAUGGAACAGUUGUGUGAUCCUCUCACAGGGUCUAGGGGAACAGCUGGAUGCACUUGGAUGCGGAGCAUUGCUUAAUGGAGGUGCUGAGGGAGAAACCUUUGUGCCAUGCAGCAGCAGCAGCUGAACGUGUGAGCUGGUGUGACUUGCUGAUAAAGAGACAACAGCCCGGUGACGGCAGGUCUUUCCUAGAGAGUGAGGCGGCCUUCCUUUGCACCCGAUGUGGAUUCUGAUUCCCAGACAUCCCAGAAGAUAAGUGGAGGGCUCGAGCCACGGAGGGGAUGAAAGCUGGGUGCUGGGUUGGGGCCACCCCUCUGAACUUCUCGGCUGAAGCACCUUAAGGAGCCAUGAAUUCCGUCAGAAGCUCCGUGGUGCCUGUUGGUGAGAGCAGCACACGUGUGGCAGCCUGGAAUACCUCUGCUGCUCUGCUUUCCUUGGGUGUUUGCAGACAGAACCUGCAUCCCCCCCUCCUUUGUGCUUUUGGAAGAGGCAGUGUGUAUGUAAAUAGACGGAAAUAGGCUUAGCCACCUUUGCCAAGGGGAUAGGGGUGGUGGGGAGAGGGAAAUUCACCUCUGCUUUCCAUGGAGAGGUAGAGAGUCCCGAGUGUCAUUUCCGAUACCGCCUGUGAUGUGUUUGAUGUUGGAGCCUGUGAAUGGAGUUGCUUAAACAUGCCAGCGUGCCUAAAAAUAUAAAAAUAAAAGCAGUGUUAUUUUAAGACUCGAGAAUCAGGGAUUAUAAAUAGCCCGAGCGGUGUGUUACUCUCCUGGCUGGGUGUGUUGGUCCUUAAACAUCAGCUCAAUUGUCACUUCCCUUUGCAGCGGCUUGCACCUAAAGACUGUUGCUGCAGAACUGCAUCCCCCUACUCUCCUGACAGGCACAGCUCACUGAUAAGGUGCUCUCCAUCCUGAGUCCAUCACAGCAGCCGCCAGCUGGCCCCAAAUUCAAGCACACACAAGUGGGAGGUGGGUGCAAGCUGGC